rnacentral:tRNA from 1 species
GAGGGUAUAGCUCAAGUGGUAGAGCACAUGCUUAGCAUGCACAAGGUCCUGGGUUUAAUCCCCAGUACCUCCA